CUUUCUGGCUUUUAGGAGAAAAAUGCAACGAAUACAUGUUGGGUAUGAACGCCUUAAACUAUGCCAUCGUACGGCUAUGAUGCUAUUGUAGAAAGUUCAGUGGUAAUGGCAGCACCUGCUAGUCCUGUUAUGGCUCCUCUCAGCAUGAUGCACUAACUUUACCGGUGGGAAUCCUCUCCACACGAAAACGAAAGUAAGGACAAGUGUUCAUUGGGAAACCCCAUUUGUCUUCCUUCAUGAAGCAGGAGAGCGAGAGCGGAGUCUCAAAGGAAAGCCUCACUCUGCAGCAACGUGCACCCCUUCAAUCUCACAGCCGAAAAGGAGAUGAAGAAAAUGAGAGGAUUGACAGGAUUUGGCAAACUUGGAAGGACGGACAGCACAAGACGUUUAAUGGAGAAGAACCAGGAGGACGAGGUCAUACCGGACGGGCCCGAGCUGGCUCGCCCCAGCUGCGACACCUCGACCCAGAACCCUCAGAGCAACCACGAGGAAAGUGAGAGACGGAUCACAAGUGAGGAGGCGGCCGAACUUCUCUGCGUGGCCCCCGAUGCUUUGACCUCCGAGGCCGGACCCCCGCAGUCCGUCGUUGGCCUCAUAGAGGUGUUUCUGGAACAGCACUUCCCGAAGAUACCGGCCGACGUGGAGCAGACCUUAAGUCGCCACCUGCUGGAGGUGCAGGAGACGCUGCUCAGGGAGCUCGUGAGGUUGGCCCCCCGACUCCAUUCUGAGGGAUUGUUGGAAUGCUGCCACCAGCAGACAUUUAAACAUCUUGAUCAUCUACUUCGGAUCAUCCGCAUCCCCAGAGAAUUGUUAUUUCUGAUUAACUGGGUCCUACAUACAUAUCUGAGCCGGGACCUGCUUGGUCAUCCUGACCUUCAGUGCACAGAUCCCAUAAAAAAGGUCGACCUCCUGCUGUUAACACGGUGGACGUCCCAAGCGGAGGAAAUAUUGUUUGAAAUUCUGAUGACGGAUAUCGGCCGUUGCCUGGAGAAGAUCCUGCAGAUGGAAAUGAACCACGAUGAUCUUUACGUGGACGCGAUUCAGUGCAUUGACGCCGUGCCCCAAAAUGUCCUCAAAAUCAGCCCACAACUGUCUGAUAAGCUGCAGGAGGGUUGCAUGCGAGAGCUGCUGCGGUUUCUGAAAAAGUUCACGGCGGCGCAGAAGGACCUUCUGAGAAAGAAAGCAAAAAUGGACGAACCAGAAACAAAAGAUUUUUUCAGGAAUUUGAAGAACUGUAAAGGACUCAAGCAGUACAUCCAGGAAAAAGACAAAGAGAAAAAAUACCCUCUCAUGGAAAUCAUUGAAGACAUGGAGGCUUUUACUUUGAAACUCCUGAGGGAAAUCUUCGCUGACAUCGCAGAGGUCAACUUCUUCAACUUCAAUCAAUCAAUCGAAAGCGGCUUAUGUUUUGAGGAAUGUCAAAACUAAUAUUCAUGUUUUGUUCAAUCGCAGAGCCGCCUGAAGAAAUACUUCAAAUCACAGAACAAGGAAUUCUCCCUCUUGCUCGAUGACGUAAGAAGCCUCCUCUCAGGUCUGUCCGACUACGAGGACGUUCAGAUGGUUCGCGGGGUCGCUGGCUGGAACGCCAUGCUGCUGAAAGUCGAAGAUCUGUUGAGCGUCGAGAGUCUUGAUGUGAUGAAAGUGACAGCGGCGGAGAUGCAGAAGGAGUGUCACCCGGGGAGCGGUGACCUGCAGCUCCUGCCCGCGCUGCUGCAGUGGCGAGGUCUCUCCGGAUCCCAGAUCAGGGACGUGCAAUAUGCCAUGAUGGACCUACCCGGCUUUCAACUCCCACCCACGCCUGCUUCCUGCUUCUCCUGCUUCACCUGGUGGCGAAGCUGCUGCACGCCGGAAUCCACGGUUGUCAGCGAGGAGGACGGCUCUCAGAUCUGAUGCAAGGGAGUUGGAAUAAGCUUCAAGUGUACGUUAUGUCACUGGUGUCGCUUCCUUUCAGGUGUCGUUGUCGUAUAAGGAAAUAUACAUAUUUGUCGGGACAUUUGCACAUCGUUGACAGUACCGUUAUGUUUUGUGCAUCAACUUGUUGUAGAUCGGUCAACCUGUGCGCCUCCCGUCUCAUUCUUACUGUAUUUAUGCACAAGGCUAAAGUGCAACAGAAAGGCCGUGACUUGCGUGGAAUGUGGACGCAGGUUUCCGAAGCGAAGCUCAGCGACAGCGGGUUGGGGCCUCGUGACGUUGAGC
ensembl:lncRNA